CUAGGAGGGUAAGACAGUGAGGCCGGAAAGCUUAAGGCCCUGCCAGAGUCUCGCUCCAGCUUCCAGUGGGUUAAUCCGAGGAGAAGGGAAAUUGUUCCUGGCCCCGGAUGUGAGUCAUCACCAAAGGACUUUGUUCCUUCGGGGUGUGGUAGCAGAUCCAUUACAUCACAGUAUGUGAGAGAAAGCACCAAUGAGCUUCUGGUGGUGUUCUGGAGGCUUCUUGAAGCUCCCAAGGAUUCGAGCUGAUUGACAGAUGUUUCUUCUGGAUAGAACUGCCAUUGCUGACUCUCGAAUGAUGUUUGCCAGUGGAUCGAGCUACUGUGUGUAAACUGAACUGCUGAUAUCCUGACAACAAUGUUUGGAUGCAUCCCAAAGAACUAUUUCUAGCCAAGUCUAC